rnacentral:rRNA from 1 species
CAGCAGCCGCGGUAAUACGGAGGGUGCAAGCGUUGUUCGGAAUCACUGGGCGUAAAGGGCGUGUAGGCGGUCCGCUAAGUCUGAUGUGAAAGCCCGAGGCUUACCCUCGGAAGUGCAUUGGAGACUGGCAGACUAGAGUCCCGGAGAGGAGGGUGGAAUUCCUGGUGUAGCGGUGAAAUGCGUAGAUAUCAGGAGGAACACCGGUGGCGAAGGCGGCCCUCUGGACGGUGACUGACGCUGAGACGCGAAAGCGUGGGGAGCAAACAGGAUUAGAUACCCUGGUAGUCCACGCUGUAAACGAUGAGCACUAGGUGUCGCGGGUAUUGACCCCUGCGGUGCCGACGCUAACGCAUUAAGUGCUCCGCCUGGGGAGUACGGUCGCAAGAUUAAAACUCAAAGGAAUUGACGG